AGUCAUAUGCUUGUCUCAAAGAUUAAGCCAUGCAUGUCUAAGUCCAAGCUGUGUUCACACGGCGAGACCGCGGACGGCUCAUUAAAUCAGUCGUGGUCCAAAUGGGCCAGUGCAAAUCCUACUUGGAUAACUGUGGUAAUUCCAGAGCUAAUACAUGCAACUGAUAUCCCGAAGGCGGUGUUGGGGCUUGCUUGCCUUGCGCUGCGCUGCUCUGACGGAUGCUUUUAUUAGACCAAGCCGCUGAGGACUUGAGGGUUCGCGCUCUCUUGUUUGACUCGUGUGAUGGUGACUCUGGAUAACCAAAUUCUGACAAGCGCACGUACUUCUCUUCUGAGCGAGACGGCGCUGCCACUUUCGAGUGUCUGCCUUAUCAGCUAUCAACCGUUCGUUAUGCGCGACCGAUGGCUUUGACGGGUAACGGGGAAUCAGGGUUCGAUUCCGGAGAGGCAGCCUGAGAGACGGCUACCACGUCCAAGGACGGCAGCAGGCACGCAAAUUACCCAAUCCCAGCAAAUGGGGGAGGUAGUGACGAAAUCUAACGAUGCGGGCGCCCUUUCUGGGGCCCCGCAAUCGGAAUGGGCACUUUCUAAACAACCUGUUGAGAACC
rnacentral:rRNA from 1 species